UUCAAGUCUUUAAGAGCAAACGGUGGAUGCCUUGGCAUCUGGAGCCGAAGAAGGACGUAGCAAUCUGCGAUAAGCCUCGGGGAGUGGAUAAGCACACUUUGAUCCGAGGAUCUCCGAAUGGGGAAACCCCGCUGGGCGGCGUGCCGACCCAGUGACUCCCGCCUGAAUAUAUAGGGCGGGUAGAGGGAACGUGGGGAAGUGAAACAUCUCAGUACCCACAGGAAGAGAAAGCAACCGCGAUUCCGUUAGUAGUGGCGAGCGAAACCGGAACAGGCUAAACCGAGUACGUGUGAUAUCCGGCAGGAGUUGCGUAUUCGGGGUUGUGGGACUUUUCAGGCUGUUCUGCCGAGCAGCCGGCGUUACAAGAAGGUAUAGACGAACUGGAUUGAAAGCCAGGUCAUAGAGGGUGCCAACCCCGUAGUCGAAAUGCCUCCCUUGGCGCGAAGAGUAUCCCAAGUAGCACGGGGCCCGAGAAAUCCCGUGUGAAUCUGUCAGGACCACCUGAUAAGCCUAAAUACUCCCAGAUGACCGAUAGCGGACAAGUACCGUGAGGGAAAGGUGAAAAGUACCCCGGGAGGGGAGUGAAAUAGUACCUGAAACCGUUUGCUUACAAACCGUUGGAGCCUCCCUAGCAGGGGUGACAGCGUGCCUUUUGAAGAAUGAGCCUGCGAGUUAGCGAUACGUGGCGAGGUUAACCCGUGAGGGGUAGCCGUAGCGAAAGCGAGUCUGAAUAGGGCGAUUCAGUCGCGUGUCCUAGACCCGAAGCGAAGUGAUCUAUCCAUGGCCAGGCUGAAGCGACGGUAAGACGUCGUGGAGGGCCGAACCCACUUAGGUUGAAAACUGAGGGGAUGAGCUGUGGAUAGGGGUGAAAGGCCAAUCAAACUUCGUGAUAGCUGGUUCUCUCCGAAAUGCAUUUAGGUGCAGCGUUGCGUGUUUCUUGCCGGAGGUAGAGCUACUGGAUGGCCGAUGGGCCCUACAAGGUUACUGACGUCAGCCAAACUCCGAAUGCCGGUAAGUGAGAGCGCAGCAGUGAGACUGUGGGGGAUAAGCUUCAUAGUCGAGAGGGAAACAACCCAGACCACCAACUAAGGUCCCAAAGCGCGUGCUAAGUGGGAAAGGAUGUGGAGUUGCCUUGACAACCAGGAGGUUGGCUUAGAAGCAGCCACCCUUGAAAGAGUGCGUAAUAGCUCACUGGUCAAGUGAUUCCGCGCCGACAAUGUAACGGGGCUCAAGCACGCCACCGAAGUUGUGGCAUUGACAUUAUUGGUAGGCCUUCGUGGUCCAGCCGUGUUGAUGGGUAGGAGAGCGUCGUGUGGCCAGCGAAGCGGCGGUGUGAACCAGCCGUGGAGGCCACACGAGUGAGAAUGCAGGCAUGAGUAGCGAAAGACGUGUGAGAAACACGUCCUCCGAAAGACCAAGGGUUCCAGGGUCAAGCUAAUCUUCCCUGGGUAAGUCGGGACCUAAGGCGAGGCCGACAGGCGUAGUCGAUGGACAACGGGUUGAUAUUCCCGUACCGGCGAAGAACCGCCCAAGCUAAUCCAGUGGUGCUAAGUGCCCGAAUUCCUCUGUAUCGAUCCCUUCGGGGUGAGAACGUUGGAGCUAGCGCACGACCCCAUGCUGGUGCGGUUAGCGUAUUAACAGGUGUGACGCAGGAAGGUAGCCCAACCCGGGCGAUGGUUGUCCCGGGGCAAGUGCGUAGGCCGAGAGAUAGGCAAAUCCGUCUCUUACAUAGGCUGAGACACGAUGCGGAUAAAAAGUGGGUGAUCCUAUGCUGCCAAGAAAAGCAUCGACGCGAGGUUCUAGCCGCCCGUACCCCAAACCGACUCAGGUGGUCAGGUAGAGAAUACCAAGGAGAUCGAGAGAAUCGUGGUUAAGGAACUCGGCAAAAUGCCCCCGUAACUUCGGGAGAAGGGGGGCCUUCGGCGUAUUAGGACUUGCUCCGAAAGCGUUUGAAGGCCGCAGAGACUAGUGGGUAGCGACUGUUUAUUAAAAACACAGGUCCGUGCCAAGUCGCAAGACGAUGUAUACGGACUGACGCCUGCCCGGUGCUGGAAGGUUAAGAGGACCGGUUAGCCGCAAGGCGAAGCUGAGAAUUUAAGCCCCAGUAAACGGCGGUGGUAACUAUAACCAUCCUAAGGUAGCGAAAUUCCUUGUCGGGUAAGUUCCGACCUGCACGAAUGGCGUAACGACUUCCCCGUUACGCGCAGCAGGACGGAAAGACCCCGUGACCUUUACUACAGCUUGGUAUUGGUGUUCGGUGUGGCUUGUGUAGGAUAGGUGGGAGACUUUGAAGCGGUGACGCCAGUUACCGUGGAGUCAUUGUUGAAAUACCACUCUGGUCACUCUGGAUAUCUAACUUCGAACCGUAAUCCGGUUCAGGGACAGUGCCUGGUGGGUAGUUUAACUGGGGCGGUUGCCUCCCAAAAAGUAACGGAGGCGCCCAAAGGUUCCCUCAACCUGGUUGGCAAUCAGGUGGCGAGUGUAAGUGCACAAGGGAGCUUGACUGUGAGACUGACAGGUCGAGCAGGGACGAAAGUCGGGACUAGUGAUCCGGCAGUGGCUUGUGGAAGCGCUGUCGCUCAACGGAUAAAAGGUACCUCGGGGAUAACAGGCUGAUCUUGCCCAAGAGUCCAUAUCGACGGCAUGGUUUGGCACCUCGAUGUCGGCUCGUCGCAUCCUGGGGCUGGAGUAGGUCCCAAGGGUUGGGCUGUUCGCCCAUUAAAGCGGUACGCGAGCUGGGUUUAGAACGUCGUGAGACAGUUCGGUCCCUAUCC
rnacentral:rRNA from 1 species